CUCCCACCCACUGAAGUCCCCAGUGGCUCCUGUCGGCUCGUCCUCGAUACCAGGAAGACGACUCCCCCAACCACCUCAUGCUUCUGGACGCCGUCCUUCUGCUUCCUCCGCAUCUGGCAGCGGCGGCCGCCGUCGAGGGCGGCGCCUUCCCGCCGUCCUCCGUGUCCAUCUUCCGCUCGGCGCCGCAACAGGUCAAGGUCAACCGCGCCCGGUGCUUGCCGCAGCGUUCGUGCCCACCAAGACAUGCGUCGAUGAGGUGCACGUAUACAGCCUUGCCGACGACGGGCAGAAGGGCCAAAUAUAAUCAUUCUACAAGCAGUGGUUCAUCACAAACAAAUGUACUAUGCCUGACUGGUCUUUUCGGCCUGCCAAUACUAAUUCAUUUGAGGAUGUUUUGCUCUAUAUUGCACUCCCCUAUAUUUAGACGAAACUUAUUUCACUUCAACACUGAAUUCUAAUGGAAAUAUGGAAUUGUAUGGUGUGAGCCUAGAUUGCUCUAGCUAUUUGUCUGAUUGGUCUUUGUUUCUAUAUAAGAGCUUUUUGUUUAUCUCUAUUUCAAAAUAUGUAUAGCAUUUUAAUUUGCUCUAGAUUGCUAUCUCUAUUUCAAAAUAUGUAUAGCAUUUUAAUUUGCUCUAGAUUGCUCCCCUGCUCUUACCAAUACAAAUUCGGUUCAGUUUGACAUGUAUUGCAUUUGGUUUUUUCCUCUUCAUUGUACUUGCCAACACCUAUUCGUGCAUUUGAGAUCAUGUAUUAAUUGGCAGCCUUAACUUUCUCCAACUAUAUUAUGUUAAUAUGUAUUGGCUCACUGCAUACCUUGCAGAUGCCAGGUUGGUUCGUCGAUACAUCAGUCUUCUAUCUUAAACUGCAUCCAUGAUAUAAUAUUAGUUACCUGAUAGAACGUGAAUCAAUUUGGCUUCCAGCUAUCUGAAUUGUGUACCAUUACUCCGCACUUCCCUGCUACACCUGUAUCUGAAUACUAGCUGUGCAUUGGAGCAGCACAACAGUGGCAGAUGAUUUGAGUAUUAGUUCAUGAGUGUCUUCCUCCUUUCCUCCGGGGCGGCGCUGGGACGCGGCGGAACGGAGCCACGGCGGCACGGUGAACUGUGCCGGUGACCAAGCCCAGACGGGGCUAGGGUUAGCCAUGGGGGCACAAGCAGGUGCAUGGGGGCGUCGAGAAGUAGGAAAACCGGAGGAGCAGGUUGAGGCGGAGCCUCGCCGGAUAUCGGCAGCGCCGGGGGCGGCUGGCAUCGGCCGGGGCGGCAGCAGGCGGCUGCGCGGGCUCAUCGCCAAGAGGAGAUUGCUAGAGAGCCAGGAAGGGGAUUGCAGUUUUGCAGAACGCCCUCCUCUAGCUGGGUAUUCUUAUUUCCAUGUCAAGUUAGCUGAAAGUGGGCCUGCAGCUCGCCACAUCAGCAAAUACGACGACCUUGUGUGAAGCUUUAACGCGUAUUCAGUGACCGUGAAUUUGUAUUCCUGUUGUACAAUGACCAAACUGAUUUUGCUCAACAAGUUUGAUGGCUACUGGUGGAUUUAACUCAAUAUAGAAGCAAGUCUC